rnacentral:lncRNA from 1 species
ACAGCUCUGGCGAUGCGUUGGCACGUCUCCCAGCCAUAUGAUCCAUCCAAUUUGUUUUAAUCUUGAGCGCUCAUUGUGAUUACCAUCCCUGCAGUGAGCUGACUCGUGUGUUUAGUGGAACGCGCGUUUCAGGCCACUUGACCUGCCACCUUAGUUAAUGAGGGAGAUCAAGUGGCUCACAUUUUUUUUUGAUAUUUUCUGAUUUUCUUUUAUUUAUUUUAUUUUCAUUAAUUCAUAUUAAUUUUAAUAUUGAUCCAAAAAAUAUGAGAGUUUCACCAAAAAUUUUCAAAUAAUUUCCUCUUUCAUAUUUUGAAUUAAAAUUAUUUUUUGGAUCAUUAUUAAUAUUUUU